rnacentral:lncRNA from 1 species
AUGCAGCAGAUCAUAGAUAAUUCUUUUGUUUUUAAAUUAAGUCACAGCUCUUUAGUUUUACUAGAAACAGAAUACCUGUCUAGCAUAGAAGUAUUAGAACAUUUAGAUGAACAAGAAGAAAUGUUCCCCAAUCCUACCUCUCAAAUUCUGAUGCAUAACAGAAUACCCCUCUUUCUCUGCGAUGUGUAUUAUGCCACUUGCCACGUGCUUUAUACCCUCAGCAGUGGCUCAUGGACCCACCCUCAUUCCUGUCAAUGUGAUGAGGGUCUCUUCUCUUUUGCCUUCCUUCCGUGUAGUCGCAUCGUGGACAAGAUGCGUGACAGUAGCUGUGGAAUCCGGCCAAGCCCCAACAUGGUGCAGGGAAGCACCUACAAAAAGACCUUCAUAGGUGAGCCCCUGACCCCUACCCCACCCCCAGGGCCGGACCAGGCACUGGAGACCUGGGGCUUGGUGACUUGCGACUCAGUGGUGUUGAGGCCUGAGCUGCCUGGCAGCCAACAGGGCAGCCUGAGAGGUGGGUGCGGCCACAGCUUUGGGCAGUGGGGUUGGCAUUUGGUCUGCUCCAGGGCCAAGCCCCAAGGCUGUUCCAAGGCUGCCCCAGGGGUCAAGGUCAAUGAGGUCACAGCCAGGCACCCCUGGGGAAGCUGGUCUGGAGCCUGUUGUCUUGACGGGUGCUGCCCUUGCCCCGCUGCAGGCUCCUCCCUGGUGGAUUGGCUCCUCUCCAGCGGCUUUGCAGCCAGCCGUCUGGAGGCUGUGACGCUGGCCUCGGUGCUCAUGGAGGAGAACUUCCUUCGGCCAGUAGGCACCCGAAGCACGGGAGCCAUUCGCUCGGGGGAUCUGUCUGAGCAGUUCCUGGAUGACUCCACGGCCCUGUACACAUUCGUAAGUGAGGGCCUGGGUUCCUCUUGGCACGGGAGCAGAGAGAGGAAGAGGCUGCCGAGUGUGGGCCAGGGGUCCACGGUCAGUGGGGAGAAGCCUAGGGCUCAGGGUGGAGGGGACAGCUUCACCCCCAGGUGGAGUGGGAGUUUCCUUUCCCCUGUGGGAGCUUCCCCAGCCUGGUGCUGGGAUGUGUUGGUAACAAGAGUCCUUGUCUCUCCUUCCUACCAGGCUGAGAGCUGCAAGAAGAAGAUAAGUCCCAAGGAAGAAAUCAGUCUCAGUACCAUGGAGUUAAGUGGCACUGUGGUGAAGCAAGGCUAUCUGGCCAAGCAGGGGCACAAGAGGAAAAACUGGAAGGUGCGGCGCUUUGUUCUGAGGAAGGACCCGGCUUUUCUGCAUUACUACGACCCUUCCAAAGAAGAGAACCGGCCAGUGGGUGGGUUUUCUCUUCGUGGCUCCCUGGUGUCAGCUCUGGAGGAUAAUGGCGUUCCUGCUGGGGUUAAAGGGAAUGUCCAAGGAAAUCUCUUCAAAGUGAUUACUAAGGAUGACAUACACUACUAUAUCCAGGCCAGCAGCAAGGCUGAGCGUUCAGAGUGGAUUGAAGCUAUCAAGAAGCUAACGUGACAAGGCCCUGAGGGAACGGGACUGAGAUUCCUCCCUCUUACCAGAUGACACAGGAUUUCCCGGACAAUGGGAGUAUGUUAAAAUUUUUAACUUUUUAUAUUUCGUAUGGCUUUGGAGUGAGAUUGAGGGAGUUCCUUAAAGUUGGCAGUGGUGCUAUUGCCUUCCCCACCUUCAUUUACAGUUAACCUGUAAAUGCUGAAGCAGCCUUGUCAGCCAAGUCAGCACCUUGACUUUCGCCCAUUAUCACAUCCAGCCCCUCCUUGGGUACCAAAGUAGGUCUCCCUUGUCACACUAACUGGUCCAUGUAAUACUCAACAAAACACUAUAACCUCAUGAUGGAGCUCUCCGAAAUGCUGUCAGCACCUCUUAACUCCUUUGGAAUGAAUAAAAAUUGACACUUGUUCCUGGCUGUU